CACGUAGGGUGCGAGCGUUGUCCGGAAUUAUUGGGCGUAAAGAGCUCGUAGGCGGUUUGUCACGUCUGCUGUGAAAUCCCGAGGCUCAACCUCGGGCCUGCAGUGGGUACGGGCAGACUGGAGUGCGGUAGGGGGAGAAUGGAAUUCCUGGUGUAGCGGUGGAAUGCGCAGAUAUCAGGAGGAACACCGAUGGCGAAGGCAGUUCUCUGGGCCGUAACUGACGCUGAGGAGCGAAAGCGUGGGGAGCGAACAGG
rnacentral:rRNA from 1 species